GUGGCUUAAUUUAACUCAACGCGGGAAAUCUUACCGGGUCCGGACACACUGAGGAUUGACAGGCAAUAUCUAAAUCGUUUAUAAUAAUUCCUAUUAUAAUACGUAUUUAGUGUUAAAUAUGCUAGCCCUUUCAUGAUUAUGUGAUAGGUGGUGCAUGGCCGUUCUUAGUUCGUGGAGUGAUCUGUCUGCUUAAUUGCGUUUCACUAAGGGCCCAUAAAUUCAAGGUAUGUUAGCUAUCGUUUCUCAAUUGACCCCUUGUCUUCGAUAAGCGCGUGUCUUUUAGAGUUUAAACAUUGCGCAUGCUGUUGGGUCCUGAAAGCAACGAACGUGACCGCAACGUCUUAUUGCCUUUAUCUUGUUAUAUUCUAAUUUAAUUAGGAAUAACUAACAGAGGCUAAUUUAAAAUUAGACGGACCGCUGUACUUUUCUUAAACCAGAGGAAGGUUGCGGCAAUAACAGGUCUGUGAUGCCCUUAGGUGUUCCGGGCUGCACACGUGCUACAAUGAUCAGUACAGUGAGCAUCUCAAUAUUAUACACCGUAUUAAGCGCUUGGUUGCGAUUAUUGGCUCAUUAUUGGGUCUUUUAAUUGUAUUUCCAAUGCGCGCGGUAAAGCCUGCUUCGAGAGUAAGUGGGUAAUCCAUUGGAAGUAAUGAUUUCUCUUUUUAUAGCACACCUAUAUACGGCAUUCAUUCCCGGGACGACUAGUUUCGUCUUUUUUGUGCGAAUGUAAUGUAUUCUUUAUCCGUAUGUGCGAUUGUCA
rnacentral:rRNA from 1 species